CAGCCGCCGCGGUAAAACCAGCACCUCAAGUGGUCAGGAUGAUUAUUGGGCCUAAAGCAUCCGUAGCCGGCUCUGUAAGUUUUCGGUUAAAUCUGUACGCUUAACGUACAGGCUGCCGGGAAUACUGCAAAGCUAGGGAGUGGGAGAAGUAGACGGUACUCGGUAGGAAGUGGUAAAAUGCUUUGAUCUAUCGAUGACCACCUGUGGCGAAGGCGGUCUACUAGAACACGUCCGACGGUGAGGGAUGAAAGCUGGGGGAGCAAACCGGAUUAGAUACCCGGGUAGUCCCAGCUGUAAACUAUGCAAACUCAGUGAUGCAUUGGCUUGUGGCCAAUGCAGUGCUGCAGGGAAGCCGUUAAGUUUGCCGCCUGGGAAGUACGUACGCAAGUAUGAAACUUAAAGGAAUUGGCGGGGGAGCAC
rnacentral:rRNA from 2 species